rnacentral:rRNA from 1 species
CACGUAGGGUGCGAGCGUUGUCCGGAAUUAUUGGGCGUAAAGAGCUCGUAGGCGGUGUGUCGCGUCGGCCGUGAAAACCUGCAGCUUAACUGUGGGCUUGCGGUCGAUACGGGCAUCACUGGAGUUCGGCAGGGGAGACUGGAAUUCCCGGUGUAGCGGUGAAAUGCGUAGAGAUCGGGAGGAACACCAGAGGCGAAGGCGGCCACCUGGACAGGUACUGACACUCAACUGCGAAAGCGUGGGGAGCAAACAGG